ACGCUCGACACCUACGUGAGGCAGCAGUGGGGAAUAUUGCACAAUGGGGGAAACCCUGAUGCAGCGACGCCGCGUGAAGGAAGAAGUAUUUCGGUAUGUAAACUUCUAUCAGCAGGGAAGAAAAUGACGGUACCUGACUAAGAAGCCCCGGCUAACUACGUGCCAGCAGCUGCGGUAAUCUGAGCGGGCUGGCAAGGC
rnacentral:rRNA from 1 species